GGAAAAGAAACCAACAGGGAUUGCCUCAGUAACGGCGAGUGAAGCGGCAAAAGCUCGAAUUUGAAAUCCUCUUCGGAGGAGUUGUAAUUUGAAGCUGGUUCUUUAGGGAGUUUUGUUUUUGGCUGCGGAAGUGCCUUGGAACAGGCCGCCGUGGAGGGUGAGAGCCCCGUAUCGUGGCCAGCAAGAUUUUCGUAUAAGGGCUAGCGAAGAGUCGAGUUGUUUGGGAAUGCAGCUCUAAGUGGGUGGUAUAUUCCAUCUAAGGCUAAAUAUGGGCGAGAGACCGAUAGCAAACAAGUACAGUGAUGGAAAGAUGAAAAGAACUUUGAAAAGAGAGUGAAAAAGUACGUGAAAUUGUUGAAAGGGAAGGGUAUUUGAUCCGACAUGGUAUUUAGAUGUCGCUUGCCCCCGUGGCGGGCGCUCCAUCUUUUUACUGGGCCAGCAUCGGUGCUGGGCGGGACAGGAGGUUUCUGUGAAUGUAGCCCUUCGGGGAACUUAUAGAACAGGAUUCAUACGUCUCUCCCCGGUACCGAGGACUGCGGGAAACCAAGGAUGCUGGCAUAACGAGCAAAUACCGCCCG
rnacentral:rRNA from 1 species